rfam:Gossypium hirsutum cultivar TM-1 chromosome 20, whole genome shotgun sequence
UAUUAAAAGUUGCAUCCAUUUGUACUGUUAAAAACUUGUAUAACUGGUAGAAUCACAUGAAAAUAACAUGUGGCAUGUCACGUGUACCUCAUGUUAAUGUGCAAAUACAAAUUUUUAACAAUAAAAAUAGAUGAAAUUUUGUAACC